UGCUUAUCCCAACUUGAACUAGCCACAUUUCAAGUUCACUUGGGGCUGCUGGUUUUCAUACUGGACAGCCCAGGAGUAGACUGUGUCCCCAGUUCCAUUCCAGGUCAUUUCUACCUGUAAACUUUCAUCGAAGAAAGAUGUGCUAUGCUGUACAGAAACUUCUGUUUGGCUGCCACCAGCCUAGUAAAAUAGAUUAGACAUCUAUGACCUAAGAUCUGCAAAACCGUAAAUGAAGAGGCCUGUGAUGGGGUCAACCUUGACAACUUCUCAGCACAAUAGCUGUGUUCGAGGUCACAAUGAGGACUGCACCAAUGAGAUCCUCUACACUGGAUAGUUUGAACUUGGGACAAAGGGAGACCCCCCAAGUCUUUUUCCUUCACUCUCCAUUCAGCCAUCGGAAGCACUCUGUAUGAGAAAGGGAGAAGGGCAAAUUGGAGUUCCCAGGACUUGUUUGUGCAUACGAAUCACGAUAAUGCUUUUGAAAAGGUAGAUUCCCAGGCCUUACCACAAGAGAUUCUGAAUCAGUUUGGAGGUAUCUGUCUAACAAGUCACCUUUUCAAUUAAAAAGAAUUCAUUAUAGAAGCAGCCCACUGAGCUUUGAGAGGAAACACACAACCCCAUCACCCUACUCUGUAACCCCCAUGUAUUGCUGUGAUGGUUAAUACUGAGUGUCAACUUGAUUGGAUUGACGGAUGCAAAGUAUUGUUCCUGGGUGUAUCUGUGAGGAUGUUGCCAAAGGAGAUUAACAUUGGAGUCAGUGGACUGGGAGAGGCAGGCUCACCUUGAAUCUGGGUGGGCACCAUUUAAUCAGCUGCCAGCAUGGCUAGGAUAAAAGCAGAUAAAGGAACGGGAAAGGAUUAGACUGGGCUGAGUCUUCCAGCCUUCAUUUCUCUCUUGUGCUGGGUGCUUCCUGCCGUCAAACAUCGGACUCCAAGUUCUCCAGCUUUUGGACUCUUGGGGUGUUGCACCAGUGGUUUGCCAGGAGCUCUCAGGCCUUCCGCCACAGACUGAAGGCUGCACUGUCGGCUCCCCUACUUUUGAGAUUUUGGGACUUGGACUGGCUUCCUUGCUCCUCAGUUUGCAGACAGCCUGUGUGGGACUUUGCCUGGUGAUUGGGUACUUGUAAAAUCACGAAACAAGAUCCCUGCUCCAAAGACAUUUGUAGAAGACAAAACAGACCUUUCAAGAGAAGAUGAUGCCUAUGACUGGGGUUCCAUAGCAAAUGGUACAUACAGGAGCCACUGAAGAUGACAUGUGGAAGUUGUCUGUUCUCACACUACUAUGAAGAAAUACCUGGGACUGGGUAAUUUAUAAAGGAAAGAGGUUUAAUUGACUCACAGUUCCACAUGGCUGGGGAAGCCUCAGGAAACUUAAACUUACAAUCUUGGCAAAAGGCAAAGGAGAAGCAGGCACCUUCUUCACAGGGCAGCAGGACAGAGUGAGUGCAAGAAGGGGAAAUGCCAGACGCUUCGAAACCCAUCAGAUCAUGUGAGAUUCCCUCACUAUCACAAGAACAGCAUGGAGGAAACCACCCCCAUGAUCCACUUACCUCCACCUGGUCCCAGGUGGGACUUACAGGGAUUACAAUUCUAGGUGGGAUUUGGGUGGAGACAUAGAGCCAAACCAUAUCAGAAGUGUUGUUUACAUUUCCUCAGCUCUUCAAAAGCUAAUUUCCCCAAUUUCAACUUGACUGUAAAUGUGAAAUCUUCAUUCUUCAACUGUUUGCAUCACCUUUGAGUGAUUCCUCAACCUAACCAAAGAGUUCUCUAGUAAGAAAAUUAAACACUCAAACCUGGCUGCUUAUUGUUGUAAUCAAUAGUAGAGCCUUGACUUUCAUAACACAUCCUCACUUAGAAAUGCUUCAUAAUCUCAUGACUUUGUAAAUGUGACUGUGUUUUGUGUGGACUUGAACCACAAUGAAGCUUGAUGUCCGUAGUGUUCAUUUUUUAAUGGAUAUUUUACUAUUCAGAAAAUAUUUGCACACACAUUG
rnacentral:lncRNA from 10 species